UACAGAGGGUGCGAGCGUUAAUCGGAAUUACUGGGCGUAAAGCGUGCGUAGACGGUUAUUUAAGUCGGGUGUGAAAGCCCCGGGCUCAACCUGGGGAUUGCAUUCGAGACUGAAUAGCUAGGGUACGGUAGAGGGAAGUGGAAUUUCCGGUGUAGCGGUGAAAUGCGUAGAUAUCGGAAGGAACAUCAGUGGCGAAAGCGACUUCCUGGACCAGUACCGACGUUCAGGCACGAAAGCGUGGGGAGCAAACAGG
rnacentral:rRNA from 1 species